CCUGAAAUGGCCACUUAAAACUCAAGUAAGCUCUCUUUCCAUACCAGACUGGUCUUUCUGUAAAGACCUUCCAGGGUAAAGAAGUCACUCUUCCGAAGUCCACUGCAAACUGGUUUCAGUGUAAACACAUCCCAGGCGCCAGCAGCUAUGCUGAGUGCUGCACGUAGUAUAAACAAGGGAAAGGGGAAGGGGAAACUGCCAGACUCUUUCUGGGAGCUCUAGACCUUGCUUUGUUGGUGACCAUUUACUGUCCGUUAAGCUGAGUUCCAGGGGAUAAUUGUUACCAGCUAGAACCCUAGAACUGGAAUGCAGUUAAAUUGUUCUAAAGCUCAUGAUUUUUCCACUAUCCUAAAGUUUGAGAUGACUCAGAGGAAAUAAAUAUUUAGCUUAGUACCAGCCAAAACUCUAUGCACAAGAAGUACUCCUGGAAAGAGAGAACAUUGUUCACUUGGGAGAAAUUCUUUGAUAUGCCCAUCCCGCCACCCUGUUCCUGGUCUGGAUAUGUUCAAAGUGUCACUUUGUCAGACGGCAGCAGGAAAGCCCAUCACCCUCGGAUAAACUUGUGCUCACAGGGAAAGGUCAGGACCCCAAAUCGAAAGGACCCUGGCGUGUUACCAGGGACUCAGGCAAGUGUGACUCUAGGACUUACCAGAAUCAAGUGUUCUUUCAACAGUCUAAGUCUACCAAGAAAAUGUCUGCAAAAAUCAAUUAGAUGCUUUUUAAAGAAAGUUGUUCAUGCUUUGAUGCAUUUUUUUCCAGUUAAAUAAUGAAGCAACAAGCAGGCCAAAAGCAUUCUCCAAAUUAAAAUGUUAAGGUUAUUCUAAUUGUACCUAAUCUUUAUUGUUUCAGAGACCAAUAUUAAAAGCGCUUCAUGUGAAACCAUUAAUCAAAAUGAAGUCACUGCUCACUACCCAGAGAAUUAAAUGCACCAACAGGGUUUCACUUUCUAACCAGGGGAUGUAGCAGUCAAUCAUUUACUUAUAAUGCAGUCCCUUUAAAUAAUUAAACUGUAUUUUCAGGUCUUAUGUGCUGUAUGAAGAGGAACAAUGAGGUUUUUAACUGCAGAAUUUCAUGCUUGAAUUUCCACAUCUUUGGAGGAGAGAAAGCCAAUGUUCUGGAGUGGAUGGUGGGGAUAUCAGCAUGUUUCCUGAUGUAGUUUUUUUUUUUUCUACAGAAAAGAACAUACUACUCAUUCCUGUCCUCUAGAUCCAGCAUGGAUUAUCUACAAAGCCAUUUACCUCGAAUUAAAUAAACACUCUAUUUGCCUC